rnacentral:rRNA from 1 species
GAUGAACGCUGGCGGCGUGCCUAAUACAUGCAAGUCGAGCGAACGGACGAGAAGCUUGCUUCUCUGAUGUUAGCGGCGGACGGGUGAGUAACACGUGGAUAACCUACCUAUAAGACUGGGAUAACUUCGGGAAACCGGAGCUAAUACCGGAUAAUAUUUUGAACCGCAUGGUUCAAAAGUGAAAGACGGUCUUGCUGUCACUUAUAGAUGGAUCCGCGCUGCAUUAGCAAGUUGGUAAGGUAACGGCUUACCAAGGCAACGAUGCAUAGCCGACCUGAGAGGGUGAUCGGCCACACUGGAACUGAGACACGGUCCAGACUCCUACGGGAGGCAGCAGUAGGGAAUCUUCCGCAAUGGGCGAAAGCCUGACGGAGCAACGCCGCGUGAGUGAUGAAGGUCUUCGGAUCGUAAAACUCCGUUAUUAGGGAAGAACAUAUGUGUAAGUAACUGUGCACAUCUUGACGGUACCUAAUCAGAAAGCCACGGCUAACUACGUG